GACGAACGCUGGCGGCGUGCCUAAUACAUGCAAGUAGGACGCAGUUGCGAACGGGUGAGUAACACGUAGGUAACUGCAUAUUCGAGGGGGAUAACUAUUGGAGACGAUAGCUAAUACCGCAUACUAGUAGAUGGACCUGCGUUGGAUUAGCUAGUAGGUAGGGUAAUGGCCUACCUAGGCGACUAUACAUAGCCGAACUGAGAAGGGUAUCGGACACACCUGGAAUGAGUAACGGCCCCGAAUCCUACGGGAGGCAGCAGGAGGGGAUGUUCGGCAAUUGGGGGAACCCCUACCGAGCAACGCCGCGUGAGGGAAGAAGGUUUUCGGAUCGUAAAGAUCUGUUGUUAAGGAAGCGGUACUUAACCAGAAAGGGACGGCUAACUACGUGCCAGCAGCCGCGGUAAUUC
rnacentral:rRNA from 1 species